rnacentral:rRNA from 1 species
GAAACCGCCUUUCCUAAAGCCUGGGUUAGGAAAAUAAAAAAGGCCUUUUUUUUUCUUUUUAAAAAGCCCUUUGUUAAUAGGUUAUUCUUUGAGGAGGGGGCUUCGCCCCAUAAUUUAGUUAGGUGGGUAGGGGAAAGGGCCUCACCAAGGGCGGUUGAUGGUGUAGCUUGGACUUGAGAGGGUUGACACCGCCCCCAUUGGGGAUUGGAGCCCCGGCCCCAAACUUCCUACGGGGAGCCACCAGUAGGGAAUUUUUGGGCAAUGGGAGGAAACUUUGGACCGAACAACCCCCGCGUGAAAUGACGAAAGUACUUCGGGUAUGUAAAGUUCUUUUAUCAAGGAAGAAAAGCAAAUGGCGAACCAUUUGUUUGCCGGUACUUGAUGAAUAAGCCCCGGCUAAUUAUGUGCCAGCAGCCGCGGUAAGACAAAAGGGGCAAGUGUUAUCCGGAAUUAUUGGGCGUAAAGGGUGCGUAGGCGGUCUAGUAAGUCAGUGGUGUAAUGGCAACGCUUAACGUUGUCCGGCUAUUGAAACUGCUAAACUUGAGUUAGAUAGAGGCGAGUGGAAUUCCAUGUGUAGCGGUAAAAUGCGUAAAUAUAUGGAGGAACACCAGAGGCGUAGGCGGCUCGCUGGGUCUUAACUGACGCUGAGGCACGAAAGCGUGGGGAGCAAACAGGAUUAGAUACCCUGGUAGUCCACGCCGUAAACGAUGAGUACUAAGUGUCGGGUUAAACCGGUACUGAAGUUAACACAUUAAGUACUCCGCCUGAGUAGUACGUACGCAAGUAUGAAACUUAAAGGAAUUGACGGGACUCCGCACAAGCGGUGGAUCAUGUUGUUUAAUUCGAAGAUACCCGAAAAACCUUACCAGGUCUUGACAUGUUUUUGCAAAAUGAUAGUAAUAUCGUGGAGGUUACCAGAAACACAGGUGGUGCAUGGUUGUCGUCAGCUCGUGUCGUGAGAUGUUAGGUUAAGUCCUAAAACGAGCGAAACCCUUAUCGUUAGUUGCCAGCACGUUAUGGUGGGGACUUUAGCGAGACUGCCAAUGAUAAAUUGGAGGAAGGUGAGGAUCACGUCAAAUCAGCAUGCCCCUUAUGACCUGGGCUACAAACGUGAUACAAUGGCUGUUACAAAGGGUAGCUGAAACGCAAGUUCUUGGCCAAUCCCCAAAAACAGUCCCAGUCCGGAUUGAAGUCUGCAACUCGACUUCAUGAAGUUGGAAUCGCUAGUAAUCGCGAAUCAGCAUGUCGCGGUGAAUACGUUCACGGGGUUUGUACACACCGCCCGUCA